rnacentral:tRNA from 1 species
UGGUCAGCGGCAUAGGACUAGCGGACUCAUAAUCCGUCGGUUGCAGGUUCAAAUCCUGCCGGGCCCA